rnacentral:rRNA from 1 species
CUAGUAUAAGCAAUUUAUACAGUGAAACUGCGAAUGGCUCAUUAAAUCAGUUAUCGUUUAUUUGAUAGUUCCUUUACUACAUGGUAUAACUGUGGUAAUUCUAGAGCUAAUACAUGCUUAAAAUCUCGACCCUUUGGAAGAGAUGUAUUUAUUAGAUAAAAAAUCAAUGUCUUCGGACUCUUUGAUGAUUCAUAAUAACUUUUCGAAUCGCAUGGCCUUGUGCUGGCGAUGGUUCAUUCAAAUUUCUGCCCUAUCAACUUUCGAUGGUAGGAUAGUGGCCUACCAUGGUUUCAACGGGUAACGGGGAAUAAGGGUUCGAUUCCGGAGAGGGAGCCUGAGAAACGGCUACCACAUCCAAGGAAGGCAGCAGGCGCGCAAAUUACCCAAUCCUAAUUCAGGGAGGUAGUGACAAUAAAUAACGAUACAGGGCCCAUUCGGGUCUUGUAAUUGGAAUGAGUACAAUGUAAAUACCUUAACGAGGAACAAUUGGAGGGCAAGUCUGGUGCCAGCAGCCGCGGUAAUUCCAGCUCCAAUAGCGUAUAUUAAAGUUGUUGCAGUUAAAAAGCUCGUAGUUGAACUUUGGGCCCGGUUGGCCGGUCCGAUUUUUUCGUGUACUGGAUUUCCAACGGGGCCUUUCCUUCUGGCUAACCUUGAGUCCUUGUGGCUCUUGGCGAACCAGGACUUUUACUUUGAAAAAAUUAGAGUGUUCAAAGCAGGCGUAUUGCUCGAAUAUAUUAGCAUGGAAUAAUAGAAUAGGACGUUUGGUUCUAUUUUGUUGGUUUCUAGGACCAUCGUAAUGAUUAAUAGGGACGGUCGGGGGCAUCAGUAUUCAAUUGUCAGAGGUGAAAUUCUUGGAUUUAUUGAAGACUAACUACUGCGAAAGCAUUUGCCAAGGACGUUUUCAUUAAUCAAGAACGAAAGUUAGGGGAUCGAAGAUGAUCAGAUACCGUCGUAGUCUUAACCAUAAACUAUGCCGACUAGGGAUCGGGUGGUGUUUUUUUAAUGACCCACUCGGCACCUUACGAGAAAUCAAAGUCUUUGGGUCUGGGGGA